rnacentral:rRNA from 1 species
GAUGAACGCUGGCGGCGUGCCUAAUACAUGCAAGUCGAGCGAACAGACGAGGAGCUUGCUCCUCUGACGUUAGCGGCGGACGGGUGAGUAACACGUGGAUAACCUACCUAUAAGACUGGGAUACCUUCGGGAAACCGGAGCUAAUACCGGAUAAUAUAUUGAACCGCAUUGUUCAAUAGUGAAAGACGGUUUUGCUGUCACUUAAAGAUGGACCCGCACCGCAUUAGUUAGUUGGUAAGGUAACGGCUUACCAAGGCAACGAUGCGUACCCGACCUGAGAGGGUGGUCGGACACACUGGAACUGAGACACGGCCCAGACUCCUGCGGGAGGCAGCAGCAGGGAAUCUUCCGCAAUGGGCGAAAGCCUGACGGUGCAACGCCGCGUGAGUGAUGAAGCACUUCGGAUCGGAAAACUCUGUUAUUAGGGAAGAAGAAAUGUGUAAGUAACUAUGCACGUAUUGACGGUACCUAGUCAGAAAGCCACGGCUAACUACGUG